ACUCCUACGGGAGGCAGCAGUGGGGAAUAUUGCACAAUGGGGGAAACCCUGAUGCAGCCAUGCCGCGUGUGUGAAGAAGGCCUUCGGGUUGUAAAGCACUUUCAGUAGGGAGGAAGGUAGUGUAGUUAACAUACCUGCCAUUAUUUGACGUUUACCUACCAGAAGAAGCACCGGCUAACUCCGUGCCAGCAGCCGCGGUAAUACGGAGGGUGCGAGCGUUAAUCGGAAUUACUGGGCGUAAAGCGCAUGCAGGCGGCCUGUUAAGUCAGAUGUGAAAGCCCGGGGCUUAACCUCGGAAUUGCAUUUGAAACUGGCAGGCUAGAGUCUUGUAGAGGGGGGUAGAAUUUCAGGUGUAGCGGUGAAAUGCGUAGAGAUCUGAAGGAAUACCAGUGGCGAAGGCGGCCCCCUGGACAAAGACUGACGCUCAGAUGCGAAAGCGUGGGGAGCAAACAGGAUUAGAUACCCUGGUAGGAUAG
rnacentral:rRNA from 1 species